rnacentral:rRNA from 1 species
AUGGCCGCCGCCGACCCCAUCUGGAUGAUGCUCGACCGCUUCGUCUUCCGCAGGGAUCCCGCCGAGUCCUCCAUCGAAGACCGCAGCUAUUCCUUCUCGGCCAGCCACAUCGCCGGGUCCGCCCCCUUCACCGUUGCUUUCCGCGUCCUCAGCCCCCCGGAGAUCUCCCGCCUCUACCUGAAGUGGCCGCCUCUGCUAGAUCCAAUGAAUGGCUCUUCGUGCGAUCUCGUGGCGGCGCACGACAACCUCCUCCUGAUCAGCCUCACCUCCAGCCCCGGGACUGUGAACACGUACAAGUCCCCAGUUUAUCCGCAGGAACACUUCAUCUGCAGAGCCUCCACCUCGCCGUCUCAGCCGUCACUGAUGCUCCACAAGAUCCCGAUGUGUACGGAACCGUUGGUCGUGCGUGGGAACAAGGACAAGGUGAUAACUACACAGCGCUCAUUUCAUCCUCACACUGUCGGUAUCUUGUGCCGUGGUGAUGAAGAGUUCGCCGUGGCACAGCUGAGCUUAAGUAGACCCAAUCUAGUAGCCGGUAUGCAAGCUGACCUGUGCGUGCUUCGCUCCAGUGUACACAACUGUGAUCACAAGUGGGAGGUUGAGCAGCAGCUACCGAUCCAGUGCAAGUUCUCCGAAUCAUCUGACUUGAUCUAUUGGAAAACUGACACAGUCAUCCCUUUCAAGACUGCUCUGUACUGGGUCGACUUCUGCAGCGGAGGUAUGCUAUUCUGUGAUGUCUUCCAGGAAAGGCCUGCCAUCUCUUACCUUCAAUUGCCUAUUUGUAACCGAAAUCCUGGUUAUGAAGUACGCCCAUUUCAUGAUAUGCACCGUUCUGUGUGCAUCACCAAAGGCGGCCAGGAGCUCAACUUCAUUGAUGUCGUCCGUGAGGAUGGUAAGCAUGUUGGCCCAAUGAGCCCUGAUACUGGUUUCACUAUCAACCGCUAUGCUUUGAUGACAAGCAGCUGUGGCACCUUGACUUGGAAAAAAUUCGUCGUCAAAUCUUCUGAAUUGGACUCUCUCGAAACCUCUCCAUCUCAAGCUCUGACGUUCCCUCUUGUGAGUAUGGACAAUCCAAACAUGGUGCACUUUCUGCUAUCUAAGAAAAUGGCGGAUGGAAUCGACAACGUUUCUGUGGUUACUGUUGAUAUGAAAGCCAAGGAAAUGGUGUCGAGUCAUCCUUACAUUAAGGGUAAUGAAGACCUCCUGGGCAAAGACGUGGAUAUGGUCAGACGAAAGUCCCAUCUUCUCCAGCCAUUUAUUUCCUCCAGGCUUCCAAAAUUCUUCAAUCGCUCCAGCUUCAAGCGGAAGGUGCAAACAAGACGCCAGGAUUAA